AGUGCCACUGAAACCUGACAGAAUCUGAGAGGAAGCUACGGGUACCCCAGGGCUGGAGCCUUGGUUACUCCCCAGGAUAGCCUAGAAGAGACAGGCUGGCUGUACCUUGAGAAGCUGAGGGAUAUCACGAACACCAUUCUACAAAAAUAAUGGAGCUUUCUGGGGUCUCAUGUUUGGCCUGGGAGUGGGGCUUCUGCGCAUGAUCCUGGAGUUCUCAUACCCAGCGCCAGCCUGUGGGGAGGUGGACCGGAGGCCAGCAGUGCUGAAGGACUUCCACUACCUGUACUUUGCAAUCCUCCUCUGCGGGCUCACUGCCAUCGUCAUUGUCAUUGUUAGCCUCUGUACAACUCCCAUCCCUGAGGAACAGCUCACAUGCCUGACAUGGUGGACUCGGAACUGCCCCCUCUCUGAGCUGGAGAAGGAGGCCCACGAGAGCACACCGGAGAUAUCCGAGGGGCCAGCCGGGGAGUGCCCUGCAGGAGGUGGAGU
rnacentral:sRNA from 1 species